UACGAAGGGGCUAGCGUUGUUCGGAAUCACUGGGCGUAAAGCGUACGUAGGCGGACCGUUAAGUCGGGGGUGAAAUCCCAGGGCUCAACCCUGGAACUGCCUUCGAUACUGGCGGUCUGGAGUCCGGGAGAGGUGAGUGGAACUCCUAGUGUAGAGGUGAAUUCGUAGAUAUUAGGAAGAACACCAGUGGCGAAGGCGGCUCACUGGCCCGGUACUGACGCUGAGGUACGAAAGCGUGGGGAGCAAACAGG
rnacentral:rRNA from 1 species